AUAUGCUUUCGGGGCAGGGUGAAAUUCCCGAUCGGCGGUAUAGUCCGCGAGCUGAUUAUCAGCAGGAACUGGUUGGAUUCCAGUACCGACAGUAAAGUCUGGAUGGAGAAAGUGGAA
rnacentral:ncRNA from 2 species